CUGAAGAGGUAGACAAGUCAAGCCUUUUUAGCUCCAAGACAGGACAUGAGGAUGAAGCCAAAUCAUUGUUUAAACACCGUGUGGGUACUGCCAUAUCUGUACAGGCCAUCCACAGCCUCUCUUGGACACAGUGGAAGCUUUGUCAGGCAUGUGAUGUCACUGACACCACAGUAACCCGGUACCCCCUGCUGGAUCUCGUCUCCACCCCCAGAGGAGGUCACCUCCCAAAAGGAGAUCUGGAGUUCCAUGAACACUACCAACACUGCACCAGGAGUUAUUCAGCAGAAAAUACACAUGCAAUUGAAAAGAUGACAGAGCACAAGAUAUCUAGACAUUCUCUCAGUAUGUGCCAAGAAAAACCCAAUGGUUGUGGCCCAACAACAAAGAAACAGCAGGGAACACAGGACUGCCACAACACGGCUCCCUCCACACCUUCCUGCUGGGCACCAGCUUCUGCCCAAGGUUGCUUUUAUUGCUGCAGCUAGGGUUAUGGUUACACCAAAUAUUUUGAGAUGAAAAGAGGUGCAUUGAAAAGGACAGAAAAUUGCCAAAAUUAUUGUGAUUUAAAUCCUUGAAUACAGGACAAAAGGAAAACAAAGAGAGAAGUCAAGGAAUUCAAGGGUUGAAUCUGCAAUGCACAAAAUAAACUCAAAAAUGUGUGUCAACAAUCUAUGUAACUUCGAGUGCCACAGAAGGACAAACAGCUUAGAAGAUUAAAAAGUACUCAUCCCAAACCUUUGCAAUGUAUGUGCACACUGCAA